UAGACCGCCUGGGGAGUACGGCCGCAAGGUUAAAACUCAAAUGAAUUGACGGGGGCCCGCACAAGCGGUGGAGCAUGUGGUUUAAUUCGAUGCAACGCGAAGAACCUUACCUGGUCUUGACAUCCACAGAACUUUCCAGAGAUGGACUGGUGCCUUCGGGAACUGUGAGACAGGUGCUGCAUGGCUGUCGUCAGCUCGUGUUGUGAAAUGUUGGGUUAAGUCCCGCAACGAGCGCAACCCUUAUCCUUUGUUGCCAGCGAUUAGGUCGGGAACUCAAAGGAGACUGCCAGUGAUAAACUGGAGGAAGGUGGGGAUGACGUCAAGUCAUCAUGGCCCUUACGACCAGGGCUACACACGUGCUACAAUGGCGCAUACAAAGAGAAGCGACCUCGCGAGAGCAAGCGGACCUCAUAAAGUGCGUCGUAGUCCGGAUUGGAGUCUGCAACUCGACUCCAUGAAGUCGGAAUCGCUAGUAAUCGUGGAUCAGAAUGCCACGGUGAAUACGUUCCCGGGCCUUGUACACACCGCCCGUCACACCAUGGGAGUGGGUUGCAAAAGAAGUAGGUAGCUUAACCUUCGGGAGGGCGCUUACCACUUUGUGAUUCAUGACUGGGGUGAAGUCGUAACAAGGUAACCGUAGGGGAACCUGCGGUUGGAUCACCUCCUUACCUUAAAGAA
rnacentral:rRNA from 1 species